GGUAGGGUGAGAGGGAAGGGACAAUCUUGGUGAGGACGGCGACGCCAGCGCGAGGAGGCGCUGUGGAGGCUGAAGAACGGCGUCUGAGGCGAAAGCACUCCCUGGUGACUUGCGGCUCUGGAGACAAGCUGAUCACUCUAGCAUAGAAUGUUGGAAGAAUACCUGGCCCACAGUCAAAGAUGAAAAAGCCCCUGGCCUGGUCCCAGAAUCAACUCCUCAAAAACCCAGAUAACGGGGCUGGCCCCGUGGCCAAGUGGUUAAGUUCGUGCGCUCUGCUGCAGGCGGCCCAGUGUUUCGUUGGUUCGAAUCCUGGGCGCGACAUGGCACUGCUCAUCAAACCACGCUGAGGCAGCG